GUGUGGAUUUGGAUUUGUGGCAGCCCCAUCCCCCGGGCUCUCACAGUGUCCUGUGCCAGAGCAAACUGUGACCCAGAA
rnacentral:snoRNA from 1 species